rnacentral:rRNA from 1 species
UACGGGGGGAGCAAGCGUUGUUCGGAUUUACUGGGCGUAGAGGGCGCGUAGGCGGCCAGUACAAGUCAGUUGUGAAAUCUCCGGGCUUAACUCGGAAAGGUCAACUGAUACUGUGCGGCUAGAGUGCAGAAGGGGCAACUGGAAUUCUCGGCGUAGCGGUGAAAUGCGUAGAUAUCGAGAGGAACACCUGCGGCGAAGGCGGGUUGCUGGGCUGACACUGACGCUGAUGCGCGAAAGCCAGGGGAGCGAACGGG